rnacentral:rRNA from 1 species
UUUUGGUGGCGACCGGCCCCACGGGGGAGUAACGCGUAUGCAACCUUCCUACUACUUUGGGAUAGCUCGUUGAAAGAGAAUUUAAUCCCUUUUAAUCCAGGGACUCCGCAUGGAGAUAUUUGUUAAGGAUUAUUGGUAGUAGAUGGGCAUGCGUUCCAUUAGUUAGUUUGGUGAGGUAACGGCUCACCAAGACAACGAUGGAUAGGGGAACUGAGAGGUUUAUCCCCCACACUGGAACUGAGACACGGUCCAGACUCCUACGGGAGGCAGCAGUGAGGAAUAUUGGUCAAUGGAGGCAACUCUGAACCAGCCAAGUCGCGUGAAGGAUGACUGCCCUACGGGUUGUAAACUUCUUUUUUAAGGGAAUAAAGUGAGCCACGUGUGGCUUUUUGCAUGUACCUUAUGAAUAAGGAUCGGCUAACUCCGUGCCAGCAGCCGCGGUAAUACGGAGGAUCCGAGCGUUAUCCGGAUUUAUUGGGUUUAAAGGGUGCGUAGGCGGGAGCGGAAGUCAGCUGUGAAAUUUUAUGGCUCAACCAUAAACUUGCAGUUGAAACUCCGUUUCUUGAGUACACAUGAGGUGGGCGGAAUUUGUGGUGUAGCGGUGAAAUGCUUAGAUAUCACGAGGAACUCCGAUUGCGAAGGCAGCUCACUGGGGUGUAACUGACGCUAAUGCACGAAGGUGUGGGUAUCAAACAGGAUUAGAUACCCUGGUAGUCCACACAGUAAACUAUGAAUACUCGCUGUUUGCGAUAUAUUGUAAGCGGCUAAGCGAAAGCAUUAAGUAUCCCANC